rnacentral:misc_RNA from 1 species
AAGUCGUAACAAGGUUUCCGUAGGUGAACCUGCGGAAGGAUCAUUAACACGUAUCCAACGUAUACACCCCUGUGGUCCUGUGCGCGGCUCUAUAUGUGAGUGGUUUGAAACCUACUUUGUGACCUGCGUGGUUGCUUAUUGCAAGUCUUAAUAAACAAAGCUUACUAAUCUGCGCGAUUAGUAGGAAAAAGGCCUUGACCAAAUCUGCGUGGUUUGGGGGUUCUCUGUUUGUCAAGAUCGGGUUCGACCAGUCUUCUGCGAGAAGACAGCUUCAUAUAGCAGACGUUUUAACCAAACCAUUUACCAAAUUUGUCUAAUCUAGAAAUAAGUAUGAUUUGCUCUGCUUUAUUUCGAUAUACGAAACGUAUAACAACUCUUAACAACGGAUAUCUUGGUUCUC